UAGAACCAGGCACAAAGCAGCAUAGAUUUUUUUUAUUCUUAUCUUUUUCAUAUGAGGGGAAUAUUCCUGGUGUUAGCGUAGGAACAGACACAGCAUGGAUGUGUUGGCUUCUGCCUGGCAGCAUUUUCAGCUGAGCAGGGACUGCUCGGAGCUCUGUACCCAAAUUGCCUCUGAGGAAGAACGCCUGAUUUCCCACUUUGCGUACAAAGAGGGUUUUUUCCUUUAUGCUACGGUGAUGUACCUGCAGCAAUAGGACAAAGGAGAUGGCGCUUGUCACUGCGUGUCCGACCGGGGCCUUUUGCAGGUAUUCCAUGGCCGAAGCUGUGCCAGCAUCCCAGGGUCAGAUAGACUGGUAAUACAGAUUGCCGCAAUUUCUUACAUCAGUUAGGGCAAAGCUCAAACAAGAAACCAGACCCUCUGACCUAAAUCAGUCCCAGUCCUUCUGGAUACAGGGCAGCAGUCGACUAGCAAUGACACAACCAGCCAUCAAGUGGAGAGUCUCUGGGAUUGCAAUCUGUAUCAGCUGGAGUCUGAGAGAACGAAACCCUUUCGGGUAUCCAGUUGCUUCUUCUUCUAAUACUACAAAUACUACAACUACAAUUACUACUACUGCUACUUCUGUUUUUCUUGCCUGUAAGAAGCUGUUAAUUGCGGUCGGUGUCUGGUUGUACAUUUGUGUGGAUUAGUCUGUCUAUAACGCAGCCCUUAUCUGCUCCUGCUGGAAACCGGGGCAUGAAGUCAGCCUGCUUUAACAGUUGUUUCUUUCUGCGUGAUGCUAUGCAACUAGAAUGGGUUACACUGACAACAAAGGAACAAGCACAAAGCACCACUUUCUUUGCUGGACUGUUACAGGAACAUAGCUCUUCUUCGAUAUGACACCCUGGUCUCUUCUCUUUGCUGGCUUUUUUUUUUUUUUUUUUUUUAAAUUUAAUUCAUCUAAUCGAAGAGCCUAACAGACACUAUCGUGAAUGUGGCUUUUAAUCAUUUGGAAAAGACAGCAUGUGGAGACUGCAAAUCAAGACAGCAACACAUUUAGGCUAUUGCCAAUUUUAAAUACUUGGUUUGUGAAGCACAGCCCUAAGGGACAAGCUCAGUAACUGAGGGAAAGAUUGUAGAUAAAGAAAUAAAAAUGACAAGCGUAAUGGAGGCUCUGCAAAAGAGACUGUCAGAGAAUCAGUUCAUGGAUGGCAAUUUCACCAGUCUGAAUCUGAAUAAUUCAUAGAUUGAAAUUACCCUGCUUUCACCUUUCCAUUUAAACCAGCAUGAUCUGAAUCUCUAAUAAAUUUUCAAGAUAAAGUAAAAUGCCAAUUUGAAUCUGAAGAGCUUUUAAAACCAGAUGCUACACCCUGAAUCUUUCGAUACCUUUCACAAUUAUCCUGUGAGAACCGCACUUCAUCACGAAGCACCAUUACCAGUGAAAAUUACUGUGAUUACAAUAGCAACAAUAGAAUACCAUCAAAUGAUCUCUAAUCUACCUAAUUUACCAAGGCUGACUGUGUGCCCAUUGUGUUUCACUACGUCUGGCAUUGGAUCAAUAUCACAGUGGAACAAAAAAUGUCUUAGUGUGUGCUUCCUUUUGGUACCUUUAACUUUGACAGCACAGGAAAAGAAAAAAAAAAUCUACCUGCUGUUAAAUGUUUUUACAGCCAAUCUACAUGCCUGCUGUAGGAUCUGAUUGAUUCGCUGUGAUUUUCUUUAGUUCUUUGGUAUCAGAUGUCUUUGUGUUACUAAUUAGUUUAUAAUGUAUACUGAUGCACAAAGACUGCAGCAAGUGAGUGCCAGCACAGGGACCCUGCACUGCUGCUGCAGUUGCAGCGCUCUCACUGGGGAAGCCAAAAUGAGUUCAGUUCCUUAUGUGAAUAAUUACUCCUGAGUUAGAAAUGCUUUGUAGCAUCACCAGUCUUGGUCGUACUACAUGAAAAAUGUAUGCAAAACCCAUGGUCAAGAAAAACGAUGGCGUGUAAUACUAACAAGAUUUUCCCCUUAUUCAGCAAUUAGCAUGCAGUUGUGAGAGACACGCUGUGACUCCUUCUGUGUGUCUGUCUGCGUGUGUGCGUAGGUACGCAUGCACAUACAUAAAUGUAAAGCUACUGUGCUCUGUGAAUGAAUAUGUGCUGAUCUCUGAAAGUAACAACUUUCUCUGACAAGCCGGCGCUGUGUUUUGCCGCAAUCUGCUCAGUUGUAACACAUCCCUCUUUUGGAGGUGUAAAUUUCCUAUAGAAUGAUAGGUGACUUCUGGAACAGUAAGUACCAUUUAUGCGAUAUGUUGGUGCCUAUAGCUAUGCUGCAGAAUAGCAUUUUAAGUGUAGUUUGAGUCCUUGUAGCAUAACUAGAAUGUGAAAAAAUGAUAAACAUGUACAGAAGGCUAGAAACAGGCAUUCCUCAUGGAGGCGAUUGUAUGUGCUGUUUGUAUGUGUGUGAGUUGUACAUUUCAGCCUUGUUCUUCAUUUUAUAAUCAGAUUUACUCUGCCUUCAGGGAAUAUUUUCUAAGGGAGGAAGGUAAGCAGUUUUCUUCUUAUUUCUAUGGCUGUGUUGUAUUUCGGUUGAGGGAAAUGCAUGUUUACAGCACAUAGUUAUAUAAUAGAGCAUGAUCUCAUGACAUCUAAUUAAAUGUUUUAGUAUUUGUUCACAUUAAAACUGGGCAAGAAAACAUACCUAAAAUAUGGAUUUUUAUUGAAAAUACACUUCUAGAAAUGUUAUGCAAAAACAAUUUACAGAUUUUGUUCGCAUUCAUAUCCUGCUCAUUGCUUUUGUUAAAUAAGUGCCUAUUCUACCUAAAUACUAAUGGUCUUGAAACCUUUGGUUUUUAUAUAUUUUUUCAUUUCCAAACACAAUUUAGUCUGUAUAUUAGUGGAGAGUGUUCUCUAGAGGUAGAAGAGGCAAAAGGUUUUACAGCUUGAACUGUGAUAAAAAAGGAACUUGAAAGGGCACAAAAUAUGAUUAUACAAAAGUCUCAAAUUUUAAAUGAUUCAGUAAUGUCAUUUUCCAAAAUGCUGUUCUUAGACAACAUACUCUCAAGUUACUAUCUGGAAAUAAUUAGCCUAUUUAGUGCUAUAUUUAUAUUCUUUGUUUUCAUGUAGUAUUAAAAACUUAAAAAGCUGAGAGCAAAUACUGAAACUCUGGUAAAAGUGUAACACAUUAUAUUACUGUGGUAAUAAAAGACAUUUAGACAUUUAGAACUUUGCUGAAGAGAAGUAGUCACUGUGGUUUAACUACUUUAUAAAGAGCAUUUUAUGGUUUUAUGUACAGAAAUAUAACAUAUACUGAUAUAACUACUAUAGUGCAAAGACCAUGCAAACAGAAAUGUGGAUGUUUUGCAAAAUACCAUACAAGUACCUGGCAGCAUUUACAGUAUUACUAUUACUGCCACACUCCUCCAGUAUCAUAUGCUGCACUGAAAUCAUGGUCUGUUAACCAACUGGAUUCCACAAAGAAUUUACAAUGAUAAUUUUUUAUCAGUCUUAUAGAAAGCAGCUGGCCAAGGGGUGCAAGGUGCCCUCACUAAGUGCAGAGCAGAGCUAAGGGAGAGUUCACAAGCUGUUGGUGGCUUCACAUAAGGGCCCAAUCCAAAUCCUUCUGUGGAACCGUGCUGGAGUUCUCUGUCUUUAUGUUUCUGUUACUGAACUUUAAACAUGCCACUGGCUUUCUCCCACUGCUCCCUACUGGCCUCACAUUCCUAAACAUGCAGUGCUGGUCAGGCCUAAUGCUGUUUGCCAGUGUGAGCCCCUGCAGGAGAUGCCAGAUGCUGUUAGGACAGCACACUCAGGAGGCAAGAGUAGCCGUGAGACUCUGCUAAAAGUACUCUGGAAAAGUUUGAAAACCUUGUGAAAUGAACUCCACCUUUUGGGGUGAUGUGUGUUUCAAAGGCAGCAGGAUUGCAGUCUGUCAACAAGCUACGCUGCACAUGCAAAUGGGGAAAAAAAGCCUUUAAACCUUUUCAGACACAGGAUUGUGAAGAGAAUAUUAGCAAUAUUACUUCACAGAAAGUAUUAAAAUGCAGUCAAGUCACAUCAUCCAUGUAUUUUCUGAUACGGCUAUGGCCAAUCAGUAGCUACAGCUGAAGUGUUCAGGAUUUAUAAUUGUAUGUGUCAAAACAAAUGGCAGACUGCAACAUGAAAUUUCUAACAUAAGGCCACUAAUUUCAGCAAUAGGGAUUCAACAGUUAACAUAUAUCAUAUCAAAAAUAUAUUAGUCUGGGUUUUAUGCCUGUUUUUCACUGUUUUACACUUGGCUGUAACUAACUCAAUCUGCAAUGUUAAAGGAAGGAAAAAACCCUCUUAAACAUGAGUUUCCAACUAAACACAGAUAUCCACUUCAGUAAAAUUACUCCCAUGCAUUUGGUGGACCCUUCUCUGCAGCUAGGCAACAACCAUGAUGAAACCACACACAUGAAAAACGUAUUGAAGCCCAUUCUAUUACCACAGAAUUUAACAACCAGUCUCCCUGUACCAUCAACAUAAAAGAUAGAUCCAUUAAUUUCCUUCUAUUACAUCCUUUUUGUGAAAGUUGCUCCUAUUUUGUUAGGGUUUUUUUCUCCUUGAUUAUACAAGUUGUGUACAGUUGACACAAUGCUCAAUAGAAGAUCCUUUCUCUUCACCAGGACACAAGACCUGAGCUAAACAUGCUCUGAAAUCAACAUAUCAGGAUAUGUUUAUUCGACAACUGAAGGGACCUUCUCAUCUGUACUUCUGUUGAUAAUAUUUGUGCUCACUUGCUUGUCAAUUCUGCAUUAUCAUCUGCUAUAAAACACACAAGGUCUGAUCUGUAAUGGUUGUAUCUAUUUGGACAAGAGCCCUUAGGGUAGGAGGGUCUGUUGUGGGUUUCAUUGCGUUUUGUUUUUUUUCACUGUACUGUUGCUUUGAAUUAAUUGCAACUGCCUAUGGAAAUAUGAUCCCUUAAGAAUGUAGAGAAAUACAUUAUUAAUGAUUGUGAUGAAGAAUUGCUAGAUUCCCCUGCACUCUGGCUGCUAUGAAUUUCACACCAUUAUUCCCAAAGAAAAACAUUAGGAAGAAAGUAAAGCAAAUGUAACUUGAAAUUAAAACAGCAGCAUUUCCAAACCAAUCAUUUUGACAGGAAAUUCAGAGUUAAAGAGAAGAAAAUCCAAGCGGUUCACUGACACAAUUAAAAUACCUGAGCACCUCCCUUUCUCUUUGAUGCCACAACUCCAGGAUGUGAUAGAAGUAAAGAAUUUUGCCAUGUCACUUUAUAUUAUAUAGAUAGGAUCAAAAACCACCUUUGGCUUUAAAAGUAUUUGCACUGCAUUUCACAGUAUCGGUUCAGUUUCUUUAUGGACUAUAAAUUUUCACCUGCUCUGUGCUUUUAGCUGUGUAACAUAACCAGAAGUUCUGAAAAUCAAACUAUUUCUGACCCACCAAAAGAGGGAAAUGAAAUCCUAAGUGGGAAUUACAGAAGAGGCAAUGGGUUUCCCAGGUCUCAUGCCAACAGAGAUACUUCCUGUGAGUUUUUCAGGUCAGGUUAAACUUCUUAUUAUGUUACAACUUGUUCUUAAAAAAAACCCUAGUUAAAAAUGAGUGGGAAUUCAAAAUAUGGCCAAUGUUUUGCCCAAAAGCAUAAGUGUUUUUGUUUUUGUUUUUGUUUGUUUUUCUUUUCUAACUACAUUUGCCAUUAUUUCUGCUACAGGUCUUGCCUCAAAGUUUACCAAGAAAGAAUAUUUGCAAUGCUAUACUUCAUUUGUAGAUGGUCAUGCAUAGUGAAGCAUGCACAACAAAUUAGCAGUUGUGGUAAAUGCUAAAUUUGGAAACAUUGUUGAAAUGGAAAAAAAUUUUAAUGGAUAGAUUAUGGUGUUGCCACUGUACUGUUCACUUAUACUCAAUAUUUCACAGAGAUAGUGCAGAAAUUAAUGUACAGCUAACUUAUAUGUAGUUACAGGCAGUGAAAUGCUCAGUAGAAAAGCCUUAUGUUGUACUCACCUGUUUCUGUUUCUUCGGCCUAAGUUCAUUCAAACCCCACCUCCAGCAGCACAGCAGUCACAACAACCGCUACCCUUCUGACCUGCAGGGGAUUUCAUGAAAAUAAUUGCCUUCACAAAUGUUUUUAAGAACUUAUCAGGCCUGGGUUGGAGUGACUUCUAGACGUGAGGUUAGUUUUCAUCACUGCAGAUACAGCUACAACUACUUAUUUGAAGUUUUCUUGCGUCCUGAACUGCCAGAGCCUUUCAGGGUACAUUCCAGGGGUGUUUGAGAAAUGUCCAUGUUUCCUGGGAUGGGUUACACGGGUACAUGGCAGCACAGCAGCCACUGCAGACACGCAGGAAGAAAACAGUCCAGUGAAACCCAGUGCCGCAGCACAACUUUUCCUGACCUUCCUGGCUCUGACCUCUGUGUGUACAGUGCAGCCCUCACACAAUUACAGGUAAAGCAGUUUUUUUGUAUUAAAGGAAUCCAUUAGAGAUGGAUUUGAACUUUUGUUUAGCCUCCUGCUACCAGUGUGCACUGUGAUUGCCAGGCACAGAAAACAUAGCUCAUUUGUCUCCAUUUUCUUCCUUCACAAGCCAGAAAGUUCACAUGAUAUGCUAGUAGUAGUUCAGAAGUGGUCAAAUUAGUGAAUAAAUAAGCUUUUAAUGUAAUGAAUAAGCUGUCAUGC